rnacentral:miRNA from 1 species
AAGAAAGAAACCUGGAGUUUAAAGU